rnacentral:rRNA from 1 species
GAUGAACGCUGACAGAAUGCUUAACACAUGCAAGUCAACUUGAACUUCGGUUUGGGUGGCGGACGGGUGAGUAACGCGUAAAGAACUUGCCUCACAGAUAGGGACAACAUUUGGAAACGAAUGCUAAUACCUGAUAUUAUGAUUAUAUGGCAUCGUAUAAUUAUGAAAGCUAUAUGCGCUGUGAGAGAGCUUUGCGUCCCAUUAGCUAGUUGGAGAGGUAACAGCUCACCAAGGCGAUGAUGGGUAGCCGGCCUGAGAGGGUGAUCGGCCACAAGGGGACUGAGACACGGCCCUUACUCCUACGGGAGGCAGCAGUGGGGAAUAUUGGACAAUGGACCAAGAGUCUGAUCCAGCAAUUCUGUGUGCACGAUGAAGUUUUUCGGAAUGUAAAGUGCUUUCAGUUGGGAAGAAAAAAAUGACGGUACCAACAGAAGAAGUGACGGCUAAAUACGUG